AUGCGGAUCCCAGACAGAAAAGGCCCGGUCAGCUUUUCCGUUUCCUCCGGGGAGGGUGUCCCGGCCUGCAAGAGUGGCCCUGGAGGUCACUGCCCUGUGUCACACUCACUGCCGUCUCCUUUCACCGGGCGAACGUUCCCACGUCUCCCUGGAUGCGAGGGGAACAGGCAGGCACUCCUAAGAAGGCCGUUGCUACCUGCCCAGCUCCCGACGUGGAAAGAGCUGGAGGGAUGCUGCGGUUUCCCCCAAGGUGCAGCCUCGGGCUGGGCCAGGUGCGGCUGGGCGCCGGGCCCCGCUGGGGGCUCUCCCGUCCCCGCAGACAGACAGCGCCCGGGCGGCACGGUGGCAGAGCACCGGGGCGAGGACGCGUCAGACCCGGAGGGCGCGCCGGGAACCACGUUUCAGAGUCCCCCCGACACCUCACCACUGUGGCACAGCGUCAGACCACCCGAGAGGCCCACCGGCGAACGGACGAGCAGAGAGGAAGCUGCACGUGACGUGAGCUGGGCCCCGCCCCCCCCACCGAGGGCAGAGGCUGCCGACGGGGUGCAAAGGUCGGCCCUCCGCUGCCGGUCACCGCGCCGGCCCGAGGGCGGGGAGGCCUGGGGGAGGCGUCGGGAGGCCCAAGCACGCGUGAGCUGGGCUCCACGGGGGAGGACUUCGGGUGCCGGCGGGGGGUUUCCAGCGGAGCCCGUGACCAGGGUGGAGUCAGAACUGGAGCCGUGCCCUCGGAGAGCGGUGCAUGCGGAGGGCGACGCCGAUGUUUCCGAGUCUGAACCCCACGGGGCGGGGGGGCGGGGGGGGGGCUGGCCGCAGGGAUUCCUCUCGACCCCAGGGAACCGCCGCCAGCGCCGGUUGCGAGGAGGAUGGGCAGGAAGGAGGCACAGGUGUGUGCGUCCCCGGGUCUCCUGGGAGACCGACCCAGCCCGGGCGCCGUCCCCACCGUGAAAACACUAGCUGAUCAUCAGGACGUCGAGGCAAAACCGUCUCGGGUUCGUCUCUCUUCUGCCAUCGGGGUCACAGUGUCCUGGGCCGUGCCCAGGCACCAAGGGGACCCCGGCAGCUGUUCAGGCACCGCGCCUCGGGUCCCCGAGUCCGCCAAGGAGCCCGUGGCCCUGGCCCGACCUCUAGCCUCGAGAGCUCAAACGCUCCCCUUGCAUGCCUCCGUCACGGCCGCCGGCCAGGAGCCCGCGCCGCCAAGGCGACCCGCCCCUCACAGCAGCUCCCGCAUCUGUGUCCGUUCGUGUUUGUUCCCACGGCCGCCCGCUCCCACCUGAGAGUGGACCCCGCCCCUCCUCCGAAAAUUCCUCCUCCCGGCGGCACCGAGUCAUCCUGUGGCUCCGGUUGCUAAAACCCCUAAAACCCUGCAACCGCAGCGACCUCGGUCUGGCAAGGAAAGGCCCUGCACCCGACCGAGCGCCCACAGGCUAUAAAAACCCGGCCCGGCGGGGCUGCCUGUCCGACCUUAUCUGCCCACAGACCUGCGCAUUCCUCCCAGAUGCCCCUAAAGGCUGACUCAGGCCUAUUGUCUGUGCUUGCAAAGCUGGGCUCCGCCCGGAAAGUCCUGCCCGGCCGGUCCUUAGUCAUGCAGCCUGGCACUCCUCGGCCUCGGCCUCCGAGUGUAACUCUUGCCUCCCCAGCGGAUGCCCUGGCCCUGCACCCUGUGUCCGCGGUGUCCAGGAGCUUUUAUGGUUUAUUAGAUUUGUGUUCUUUUUAAAAUCCUUUGCUCUCUGACACUGUGGCGGAAAGCUCUGGAGUCCAGGCUGUGGUCCGUCGUUGGUCCCCCGAUCUUCACGUCCUGGAAGCUGGGGGGGCUGUGUGAUGGACGGCUUCCCGGAGGCACAGCUUGGGUCUCGGUGGGAAAUGCAGGCACGGGGAGUGCCCCGCUGCCGGCAGGAGCUGGCGAGGCAGUCCGGACGCGGCUGUUCGGCGUGAGGUGUGGCCGCACCCCCGCCCUCGGGAGCUUGUUGGGAAUGGAGGACCGCGGACACUGGCCUUGCCCGGAGACUGGACUCUGCAUUGCGCAAGUGGCUGUUCUCGGGAUCACACAGCGGGUGUGUGGCCGGGCGGGGGCCAGAGUGCCGUCCUCCUGACCCUCAGUCCCGUCCUUGUCGAGCUGUCCCCGCCGGCACAGGCCCUGGACGGCUCUGGGCCCGGGGACAGCGGCCGGGGCGGCCUGUGCGGACGGAGCAGGGCCGGGCGUCUGUGUCCAGGGGUGCAUGUGUUGCUGCCGCAGCCGGUGGGUUCUCCCCGGAACCAGCUUCAGGGAGUAACUGGGAUGCAGGCGACAGAUUUCAGGUAACCACGUUCACUGCAGACUCACUCACAUACAAUAGCGAUGACUAAACAAUCGCAAACGACCUGGAUGCCCAGCAGCCGGGGCUGGGGACCGAAGUUGCCAGACAUCCCAGCACAGCACCUUAUGCGGCUGUUAAAAGUUCUGUCUAAAAAGAGUUUUUAAGGCUAUGACAUAUUUGACAUACUAUUAAGCCAACAAAAAGAAAAAAAAAGAGGUAGACUAUAAAGUUACGUAAGUAUGAUCUCAACUGAGUCUUAAAAAAUGUGGAGACACGGGGACAUGGAAACCCGGGGGGUCCCCCUCCGAGCUUGUCCCUGGAGGGCGGCGGCCUUGUGGGGCCCGCCCUCCUCCUUCCAGCGUGAGGCUCAGUGACUCCACCAGUGUGCGCCGGGGCGCCCAGGUGACCGAGGGACGCGGUGGUGCCUCGGACCCUGGCUCGACGGAAGCGAAGCCGUGUUGGUCGGUUAGUAGCUGCAGCUCCUUUUAAAAUACUAACAGUUUGUGUGUGUGUGUCUCUCUCUCUCCAACAGCGAGGCAGAGUCGGGGCCGCAGCACGGCAGACCGCCGCACCCCGCCUGGGCGCCGCCGACCGAGACUGGUUUCCUCCCGGACGCAGCGCCUCUCCCCGCAAGCACGCGGGGGAGCCUGGACGCUCCGCACCCCUGCUCUUUCCCUUCUCAACGCUUUCUUUUUAAAAAGAUUCAAGCCUCUGGCUGGCGUAGCUCAGUGGACUGAGU